rnacentral:rRNA from 1 species
GACGAACGCUGGCGGCGUGCUUAACACAUGCAAGUCGAACGGAAAGGCCCCUUUGGGGGUACUCGAGUGGCGAACGGGUGAGUAACACGUGAGUAACCUGCCCUUGACUUCGGGGUAACUUCGGGAAACUGGGGAUAAUACCGGAUAGGAAUCCUUGCUGCAUGGUGGGGGUUGGAAAGCUUCGGCGGUUUUGGAUGGACUCGCGGCUGAUCAGCUUGUUGGUGGGGUAGUGGCUUACCAAGGCUUUGACGGGUAGCCGGCCUGAGAGGGCGACCGGCCACAUUGGGACUGAGAUACGGCCCAGACUCCUACUGGAGGCAGCAGUGGGGAAUAUUGCACAAGGGGCGGAAGCCUGAUGCAGCAACGCCGCGGGCGGGAUGCCGGCCUUCUGGUUGUAAACCGCUUUCAGCAGGGGCGAAGCUGGUGGUGACGGUACCUGCAGAAGAAGCACCGGCUAACUACGUG